rnacentral:rRNA from 1 species
CUUAUAUUCUGUAGCAAGGUUAACCGUAUAGGGGAGCCGAAGGGAAACCGAGUCUUAACUGGGCGUUAAGUUGCAGGGUAUAGACCCGAAACCCGGUGAUCUAGCCAUGGGCAGGUUGAAGGUUGGGUAACACUAACUGGAGGACCGAACCGACUAAUGUUGAAAAAUUAGCGGAUGACUUGUGGCUGGGGGUGAAAGGCCAAUCAAACCGGGAGAUAGCUGGUUCUCCCCGAAAGCUAUUUAGGUAGCGCCUCGUGAACUCAUCUUCGGGGGUAGAGCACUGUUUCGGCUAGGGGGUCAUCCCGACUUACCAACCCGAUGCAAACUGCGAAUACCGAAGAAUGUUAUCACGGGAGACACACGGCGGGUGCUAACGUCCGUCGUGAAGAGGGAAACAACCCAGACCGCCAGCUAAGGUCCCAAAGUCACAGUUAAGUGGGAAACGAUGUGGGAAGGCUCAGACAGCCAGGAUGUUGGCUUAGAAGCAGCCAUCAUUUAAAGAAAGCGUAAUAGCUCACUGGUCGAGUCGGCCUGCGCGGAAGAUGUAACGGGGCUAAACUGUGCACCGAAGCUGCGGCAGCGACGCUUAUGCGUUGUUGGGUAGGGGAGCGUUCUGUAAGCCUGCGAAGGUGUCCUGUGAGGGAUGCUGGAGGUAUCAGAAGUGCGAAUGCUGACAUAAGUAACGAUAAUGCGGGUGAAAAGCCCGCUCGCCGGAAGACCAAGGGUUCCUGUCCAACGUUAAUCGGGGCAGGGUGAGUCGACCCCUAAGGCGAGGCCGAAAGGCGUAGUCGAUGGGAAACGGGUUAAUAUUCCCGUACUUGGUGUUACUGCGAAGGGGGGACGGAGAAGGCUAUGUUGGCCGGGCGACGGUUGUCCCGGUUUAAGCGUGUAGGUGUGUGUUCCAGGUAAAUCCGGUUCACUUUAACACUGAGGCGUGAUGACGAGGCACUACGGUGCUGAAGCAACAAAUGCCCUGCUUCCAGGAAAAGCCUCUAAGCAUCAGGUAACAUCAAAUCGUACCCCAAACCGACACAGGUGGUCAGGUAGAGAAUACCAAGGCGCUUGAGAGAACUCGGGUGAAGGAACUAGGCAAAAUGGUGCCGUAACUUCGGGAG